GACAGUGUGGUGUAAUGGUUUGAGCACUGGACUACAACUCUGGAGUCAAGGGUUUGAAACCCCACUUGGCCA